rnacentral:tRNA from 2 species
GGAGAAAUGGCAGAGCGGUUGAAUGCACCGGUCUUGAAAACCGGCAUACCGAGAGGUAUCGGGGGUUCGAAUCCCUCUUUCUCCGCAA